rnacentral:rRNA from 1 species
AACAGGAUUAGAUACCCUGGUAGUCCACGCCGUAAACGAUGUCGACUUGGAGGUUGUGCCCUUGAGGCGUGGCUUCCGGAGCUAACGCGUUAAGUCGACCGCCUGGGGAGUACGGCCGCAAGGUUAAAACUCAAAUGAAUUGACGGGGGCCCGCACAAGCGGUGGAGCAUGUGGUUUAAUUCGAUGCAACGCGAAGAACCUUACCUGGUCUUGACAUCCACAGAACUUUCCAGAGAUGGAUUGGUGCCUUCGGGAACUGUGAGACAGGUGCUGCAUGGCUGUCGUCAGCUCGUGUUGUGAAAUGUUGGGUUAAGUCCCGCAACGAGCGCAACCCUUAUCCUUUGUUGCCAGCGGUCCGGCCGGGAACUCAAAGGAGACUGCCAGUGAUAAACUGGAGGAAGGUGGGGAUGACGUCAAGUCAUCAUGGCCCUUACGACCAGGGCUACACACGUGCUACAAUGGCGCAUACAAAGAGAAGCGACCUCGCGAGAGCAAGCGGACCUCAUGAAGUGCGUCGUAGUCCGGAUUGGAGCCUGCAACUCGACUCCAUGAAGUCGGAAUCGCUAGUAAUCGUGGAUCAGAAUGCCACGGUGAAUACGUUCCCGGGCCUUGUACACACCGCCCGUCACACCAUGGGAGUGGGUUGCAAAAGAAGUAGGUAGCUUAACCUUCGGGAGGGCGCUUACCACUUUGUGAUUCAUGACUGGGGUGAAGUCGUAACAAGGUAACC